rnacentral:rRNA from 1 species
CUCCUUUGAAGUUAGCGGCGGACGGGUGAGUAACACGUGGGUAACCUACCUAUAAGACUGGGAUAACUUCGGGAAACCGGAGCUAAUACCGGAUAACAUUUAGAACCGCAUGGUUCUAAAGUGAAAGAUGGUUUUGCUAUCACUUAUAGAUGGACCCGCGCCGUAUUAGCUAGUUGGUAAGGUAACGGCUUACCAAGGCGACGAUACGUAGCCGACCUGAGAGGGUGAUCGGCCACACUGGAACUGAGACACGGUCCAGACUCCUACGGGAGGCAGCAGUAGGGAAUCUUCCGCAAUGGGCGAAAGCCUGACGGAGCAACGCCGCGUGAGUGAUGAAGGGUUUCGGCUCGUAAAACUCUGUUAUUAGGGAAGAACAAAUGUGUAAGUAACUGUGCACAUCUUGACGGUACCUAAUCAGAAAGCCACGGCUAACUACGUGCCAGCAGCCGCGGUAAUACGUAGGUGGCAAGCGUUAUCCGGAAUUAUUGGGCGUAAAGCGCGCGUAGGCGGUUUCUUAAGUCUGAUGUGAAAGCCCACGGCUCAACCGUGGAGGGUCAUUGGAAACUGGGAAACUUGAGUGCAGAAGAGGAAAGUGGAAUUCCAUGUGUAGCGGUGAAAUGCGCAGAGAUAUGGAGGAACACCAGUGGCGAAAGGCGACUUUCUGGUCUGUAACUGACGCUGAUGUGCGAAAGCGUGGGGAUCAAACAGGAUUAGAUACCCCUGGUAGUCCACGCCGUAAACGAUGAGUGCUAAGUGUUAGGGGGUUUCCGCCCCUUAGUGCUGCAGCUAACGCAUUAAGCACUCCGCCUGGGGAGUACGACCGCAAGGUUGAAACUCAAAGGAAUUGACGGGGACCCGCACAAGCGGUGGAGCAUGUGGUUUAAUUCGAAGCAACGCGAAGAACCUUACCAAAUCUUGACAUCCUUUGAAAACUCUAGAGAUAGAGCCUUCCCCUUCGGGGGACAAAGUGACAGGUGGUGCAUGGUUGUCGUCAGCUCGUGUCGUGAGAUGUUGGGUUAAGUCCCGCAACGAGCGCAACCCUUAAGCUUAGUUGCCAUCAUUAAGUUGGGCACUCUAGGUUGACUGCCGGUGACAAACCGGAGGAAGGUGGGGAUGACGUCAAAUCAUCAUGCCCCUUAUGAUUUGGGCUACACACGUGCUACAAUGGACAAUACAAAGGGCAGCUAAACCGCGAGGUCAUGCAAAUCCCAUAAAGUUGUUCUCAGUUCGGAUUGUAGUCUGCAACUCGACUACAUGAAGCUGGAAUCGCUAGUAAUCGUAGAUCAGCAUGCUACGGUGAAUACGUUCCCGGGUCUUGUACACAC